CACGACUGCACGAGCACUCGUUCAUUUAUUCAUUCGGCCUCCACCAUUAUCCUCUCGCGGGAGAGACGGUGGCAGACCCAUCCCGUCCCGCCCCCCUCUAUUUCACCGUCGCCCACGCUCCUUUCCCCUUUCCGCAUCCGCAGCAACGAAAGCGAGCGCAAACCCACCCCACCCCACGACGCAACGCAUCCCCCGAACACCAGCGCAAACCCCGCUAUUCCGCCCCGUCCCCGUCCCCGUCCCCGUCCGUCUCGCCCCCCACCUCCGACGAUUCGAGGCCCGGGGCUCCCGUGCGGCGGCGGCAUGAGGACGGCGGCGACGGCGGCGGAGGCGCACCAGUCGCGGCUCCUGUACGAACUGGGCGCGCUGCUGCUGACGAUCAUCCGGUCGCCGCUCGGGCCGGGGGAGGAGCCGCGGCAGGUGACGGCGGCCGGGGUGGCGUCCAUGAUGCUGGGCGCCUCCAUGGCGCUCAUGCUCUGCGGCUCCGUCACCUUCAUGCUCGGCUUCUUCCUCAUGCCCUGGGUCGUCGGCCUCGCCUGCGUCUUCCUCUUCGUCGGCUUCCUCACCAACCUCUCCGGGAUCUGGAGGGCCAUCCUCUGCUGGCCCGCCGCAUGCUCCUCCUCCUCGCCCCAUAAGGACGCCUCCACAUGGCAUAUAUUUCCAAAGCCUCCAUUCAUGUAG
rnacentral:rRNA from 1 species